rnacentral:rRNA from 1 species
AUUGAACGCUGGAGGCAGGCCUAACACAUGCAAGUCGAGCGCGCGGCGGACGGGUGAGUAAUGUCUGGGAAACUGCCUGCUGGAGGGGGAUAACUACUGGAAACGGUAGCUAAUACCGCAUACCAUCAGAUGUGCCCAGAGGGGAUUAGCUCGUAGGUGGGGUAAUGGCCCACCUAGGCGACGAUCCCUAGCUGGUCUGUGAGGAUGACCAGCCGCACGGGAACUGGGACGCGGUCCAGACUACUACGGGGGGGAGUAGUGGGGAAUUGUGCACAAGGGGGGCAAGCCUGAGGCAGCCAUGCCGCGUGUGUGAGGAGGGCCUGCGGGUUGUAAAGCACUUUCAGCGGGGAGGCGUUACCCGCAGAAGAAGCACCGGCUAACUCCGUGCCAGCAGCCGCGGUAAUUC